rnacentral:rRNA from 1 species
GUGGGGAAUAUUGGACAAUGGGCGAAAGCCUGAUCCAGCCAUGCCGCGUGUGUGAAGAAGGUCUUCGGAUUGUAAAGCACUUUAAGUUGGGAGGAAGGGCAGUAAGUUAAUACCUUGCUGUUUUGACGUUACCGACAGAAUAAGCACCGGCUAACUUCGUGCCAGCAGCCGCGGUAAUACGAAGGGUGCAAGCGUUAAUCGGAAUUACUGGGCGUAACGCGCGCGUAGGUGGUUUUGUACGUUGGAGGUGAAAUCCCCGGGCUCAACCUGGGAACUGCCUCCAAAACUGCAUGACUAGAGUACGGUAGAGGGUAGUGGAAUUGCCUGUGUAGCGGUGAAAUGCGUAGAUAUAGGAAGGAACACCAGUGGCGAAGGCGACUACCUGGACUGAUACUGACACUGAGGUGCGAAAGCGUGGGGAGCAAACAGGAUUAGAAACCCUUGUAGUCC